GGUUAAGCGACUAAGCGUACACGGUGGAUGCCCUGGCAGUCAGAGGCGAUGAAGGACGUGCUAAUCUGCGAAAAGCGUCGGUAAGGUGAUAUGAACCGUUACAGCCGGCGAUGUCCGAAUGGGGAAACCCAGUGCAAUUCGUUGCACUAUCGUUAACUGAAUACAUAGGUUAACGAGGCGAACCGGGGGAACUGAAACAUCUAAGUACCCCGAGGAAAAGAAAUCAACCGAGAUUCCCCCAGUAGCGGCGAGCGAACGGGGAGCAGCCCAGAGUCUGAAUCAGCUUGUGUGUUAGUGGAACGGUCUGGAAAGUCCGACGGUACAGGGUGAUAGUCCCGUACACCAAAAUGCACAGGCUGUGAACUCGAAGAGUAGGGCGGGACACGUGGUAUCCUGUCUGAAUAUGGGGGGACCAUCCUCCAAGGCUAAAUACUCCUGACUGACCGAUAGUGAACCAGUACCGUGAGGGAAAGGCGAAAAGAACCCCGGCGAGGGGAGUGAAAAAGAACCUGAAACCGUGUACGUACAAGCAGUGGGAGCACCUUCGGGUGUGACUGCGUACCUUUUGUAUAAUGGGUCAGCGACUUAUAUUCUGUAGCAAGGUUAACCGUAUAGGGGAGCCGCAGGGAAACCGAGUCUUAACUGGGCGUUAAGUUGCAGGGUAUAGACCCGAAACCCGGUGAUCUAGCCAUGGGCAGGUUGAAGGUUGGGUAACACUAACUGGAGGACCGAACCGACUAAUGUUGAAAAAUUAGCGGAUGACUUGUGGCUGGGGGUGAAAGGCCAAUCAAACCGGGAGAUAGCUGGUUCUCCCCGAAAGCUAUUUAGGUAGCGCCUCGUGAACUCAUCUUCGGGGGUAGAGCACUGUUUCGGCUAGGGGGUCAUCCCGACUUACCAACCCGAUGCAAACUACGAAUACCGAAGAAUGUUAUCACGGGAGACACACGGCGGGUGCUAACGUCCGUCGUGAAGAGGGAAACAACCCAGACCGCCAGCUAAGGUCCCAAAGUCAUGGUUAAGUGGGAAACGAUGUGGGAAGGCACAGACAGCCAGGAUGUUGGCUUAGAAGCAGCCAUCAUUUAAAGAAAGCGUAAUAGCUCACUGGUCGAGUCGGCCUGCGCGGAAGAUGUAACGGGGCUAAACCAUGCACCGAAGCUGCGGCAGCGACACUAUGUGUUGUUGGGUAGGGGAGCGUUCUGUAAGCCUGCGAAGGUGACCUGUGAGGGUUGCUGGAGGUAUCAGAAGUGCGAAUGCUGACAUAAGUAACGAUAAAGCGGGUGAAAAGCCCGCUCGCCGGAAGACCAAGGGUUCCUGUCCAACGUUAAUCGGGGCAGGGUGAGUCGACCCCUAAGGCGAGGCCGAAAGGCGUAGUCGAUGGGAAACAGGUUAAUAUUCCUGUACUUGGUGUUACUGCGAAGGGGGGACGGAGAAGGCUAUGUUAGCCGGGCGACGGUUGUCCCGGUUUAAGCAUGUAGGCUGGUUAUCCAGGCAAAUCCGGAUAAUCAAGGCUGAGGUGUGAUGACGAGGCACUACGGUGCUGAAGUAACAAAUGCCCUGCUUCCAGGAAAAGCCUCUAAGCAUCAGGUAACAUUAAAUCGUACCCCAAACCGACACAGGUGGUCAGGUAGAGAAUACCAAGGCGCUUGAGAGAACUCGGGUGAAGGAACUAGGCAAAAUGGUGCCGUAACUUCGGGAGAAGGCACGCUGGUGUGUAGGUGAAGUCCCUGCGGAUGGAGCUGAGACCAGUCGAAGAUACCAGCUGGCUGCAACUGUUUAUUAAAAACACAGCACUGUGCAAACACGAAAGUGGACGUAUACGGUGUGACGCCUGCCCGGUGCCGGAAGGUUAAUUGAUGGGGUUAUCCGUAAGGAGAAGCUCUUGAUCGAAGCCCCGGUAAACGGCGGCCGUAACUAUAACGGUCCUAAGGUAGCGAAAUUCCUUGUCGGGUAAGUUCCGACCUGCACGAAUGGCGUAAUGAUGGCCGGGCUGUCUCCACCCGAGACUCAGUGAAAUUGAACUCGCUGUGAAGAUGCAGUGUACCCGCGGCAAGACGGAAAGACCCCGUGAACCUUUACUAUAGCUUGACACUGAACAUUGAGCCUUGAUGUGUAGGAUAGGUGGGAGGCUUUGAAGCGUGGACGCCAGUCUGCGUGGAGCCAACCUUGAAAUACCACCCUUUAAUGUUUGAUGUUCUAACGUUGGCCCCUUACCGGGGUUGCGGACAGUGUCUGGUGGGUAGUUUGACUGGGGCGGUCUCCUCCCAAAGCGUAACGGAGGAGCACGAAGGUUAGCUAAUCCUGGUCGGACAUCAGGAGGUUAGUGCAAUGGCAUAAGCUAGCUUGACUGCGAGCGUGACGGCGCGAGCAGGUGCGAAAGCAGGUCAUAGUGAUCCGGUGGUUCUGAAUGGAAGGGCCAUCGCUCAACGGAUAAAAGGUACUCCGGGGAUAACAGGCUGAUACCGCCCAAGAGUUCAUAUCGACGGCGGUGUUUGGCACCUCGAUGUCGGCUCAUCACAUCCUGGGGCUGAAGUAGGUCCCAAGGGUAUGGCUGUUCGCCAUUUAAAGUGGUACGCGAGCUGGGUUUAGAACGUCGUGAGACAGUUCGGUCCCUAUCUGCCGUGGGCGCUGGAGAAUUGAGGGGGGCUGCUCCUAGUACGAGAGGACCGGAGUGGACGCAUCACUGGUGUUCGGGUUGUCAUGCCAAUGGCACUGCCCGGUAGCUAAAUGCGGAAGAGAUAAGUGCUGAAAGCAUCUAAGCACGAAACUUGCCCCGAGAUGAGUUCUCCCUGAGACUUUAAGUCUCCUGAAGGAACGUUAAAGACGAUGACGUUGAUAGGCCGGGUGUGUAAGCGCAGCGAUGCGUUGAGCUAACCGGUACUAAUGAACCGUGAGGCUUAACCUU
rnacentral:rRNA from 1 species